rnacentral:rRNA from 1 species
GACGUAGGGCGCGAGCGUUGUCCGGAUUUAUUGGGCGUAAAGAGCUCGUAGGCGGCUUGUCGCGUCGUCCGUGAAAACCUGCAGCUCAACUGCAGGCUUGCGGUCGAUACGGGCAGGCUGGAGUUCGGUAGGGGAGACUGGAAUUCCCGGUGUAGUGGUGAAAUGCGUAGAUAUCGGGAGGAAUACCAGUGGCGAAGGCGGCUUCUUGGCCUGUUCUUGACGCUGAGGCGCGAAAGCUGGGGGAGCAAACGGG